UACGUAGGGUGCAAGCGUUGUCCGGAUUUAUUGGGUUUAAAGGGUGCGUAGGCGGCCCUGUAAGUCAGUGGUGAAAUACUGCAGCUUAACUGUAGCAUUGCCAUUGAUACUGUAGGGCUUGAGUACAGAUGAGGUAGGCGGAAUUGAUGGUGUAGCGGUGAAAUGCAUAGAUACCAUCAAGAACACCGAUUGCGAAGGCAGCUUAC
rnacentral:rRNA from 1 species